ensembl:snRNA U6 U6 spliceosomal RNA
GUGUUCACUUCAGCAGCACAUAUACUAAAAUUGGAACAAUACAGAGAAGAUGACACACAAAUUCGUGAAAUGUUCCAUAUGUUU